AGCAGCCGCGGUAAUUCCAGCUCCAAUAGCGUAUAUUAAAGUUGUUGCAGUUAAAAAGCUCGUAGUUGAAUUUCGGGAUCAAUAUAUCGGUCGUGCCUUGGUACGUACUGGUAUCAUUGGUUUCUCCUUUCUGACGAACCAUGAUGUCAUUAAUUUGGUGUUAUGGGAAGUUAGGACUGUUACUUUGAAAAAAUUAGAGUGUUUAAAGCAGGCUUUAGCUUGAAUACAUUAGCAUGGAAUAAUGAAAUAGGACGUUCGAACCUAUUUUGUUGGUUUCUAGGAUCAACGUAAUGAUUAAUAGGGAUAGUUGGGGGCAUUAGUAUUCAAUUGUCAGAGGUGAAAUUCUUGGAUUUAUUGAAGACUAACUACUGCGAAAGCAUUUGCCAAGGAUGUUUUCAUUAAUCAAGAACGAAAGUUAGGGGAUCGAAGACGAUCAGAUACCGUCGUAGUCUUAACCAUAAACUAUGCCGACUAGGGAUCGGAUGAUGUUAAUUUUUUAAUGACUCA
rnacentral:rRNA from 2 species